rnacentral:rRNA from 1 species
ACUCCUACGGGAGGCAGCAGUGGGGAAUUUUGCGCAAUGGGGGAAACCCUGACGCAGCAACGCCGCGUGAGUGAUGAAGGCCUUCGGGUCGUAAAGCUCUGUCAGAGGGAAAGAAAUGUAAUUGUGCUAAUAUCAUGGUUACUUGACGGUACCCUCAAAGGAAGCACCGGCUAACUCCGUGCCAGCAGCCGCGGUAAUACGGAGGGUGCAAGCGUUGUUCGGAAUUAUUGGGCGUAAAGCGCGUGUAGGCGGUUUGUUAAGUCUGAUGUGAAAGCCCCGGGCUCAACCUGGGAAGUGCAUUGGAAACUGGCAGACUUGAAUACGGGAGAGGGUAGUGGAAUUCCUAGUGUAGGAGUGAAAUCCGUAGAUAUUAGGAGGAACACCGGUGGCGAAGGCGGCUGCCUGGACCGAUAUUGACGCUGAGACGCGAAAGCGUGGGGAGCAAACAGGAUUAGAUACCCUGGUAGUCCACGCCGUAACCGAUGAGAACUAGGUGUCGCGGGUA